rnacentral:rRNA from 1 species
GACGAACGCUGGCGGCGUGCCUAAUACAUGCAAGUAGAACGCUGAAGAGAGGAGCUUGCUCUUCUUAGAUGAGUUGCGAACGGGUGAGUAACGCGUAGGUAACCUGCCUUGUAGCGGGGGAUAACUAUUGGAAACGAUAGCUAAUACCGCAUAACAAUGGGUGACACAUGUCAUUUAUUUGAAAGGGGCAAUUGCUCCACUACAAGAUGGACCUGCGUUGUAUUAGCUAGUAGGUGAGGUAACGGCUCACCUAGGCGACGAUACAUAGCCGACCUGAGAGGGUGAUCGGCCACACUGGGACUGAGACACGGCCCAGACUCCUACGGGAGGCAGCAGUAGGGAAUCUUCGGCAAUGGGGGCAACCCUGACCGAGCAACGCCGCGUGAGUGAAGAAGGUUUUCGGAUCGUAAAGCUCUGUUGUAAGUCAAGAACGAGUGUGAGAGUGGAAAGUUCACACUGUGACG